AACGCACCUUGCACCCUUUGGUUUUCCAAAGGGUAUGCCUGUUUGAGUAUCAUGAAACUAUCAAGACCUUUCAUUUAUUUGAAAUCAGUCUUGGACUUGGAUGUUUAUGCUGUGCUUAGCUCUCAGCUCAUCUGAAAUAUAUUAGCUGGAUCCAUUAUACCACUUGGUUCUUACUCAGCGUGAUAAUUGUCAUUCGCUGAGGACACUUCUUUUAUUAGAGGUGGCCAGGCAAUUUAGUGGCUAAUCUGCUUCUAACCGUCUCUUCGCAGACAACAUUUUUAUGAAUCUGAUCUCAAAUCAGGUAGGACUACCCGCUGAACUUAA
rnacentral:misc_RNA from 1 species